CAAAGAGAGAGGGCUCAUUAAUAUCAUUUAGGGUUGGACCAAAGUGUGGGUAGAGUUUCUCAGUGAAGCAGCAGCCAGUAAAGGAGUAAAUAAGAGCUGCAGCAUCAACAUCAUAAAAGGAGACCAGACCCUCCUCAUAAUCCACAAACACCCCCACCUUCUCAG